CCUGCUUAACUCAGUGG
rnacentral:tRNA from 1 species